UACGGAGGAUGCGAGCGUUAUCCGGAUUUAUUGGGUUUAAAGGGUGCGUAGGCGGCCGAGUAAGUCAGCGGUGAAAUGUUGCAGCUUAACUGUAACAGUGCCGUUGAUACUGCAUGGCUAGGAUUUGGUUGCUGUGGGUGGAAUGUGUGGUGUAGCGGUGAAAUGCUUAGAUAUCACACAGAAUAUCAAUUGCGAAGGCAGCUCACAAAGCCAAGAUUGACGCUGAGGCACGAAAGUGUGGGGAUCAAA
rnacentral:rRNA from 1 species